AUUGAACGCUGGCGGCAGGCCUAACACAUGCAAGUCGAGCGGAUGAAGGGAGCUUGCUCCUGGAUUCAGCGGCGGACGGGUGAGUAAUGCCUAGGAAUCUGCCUGGUAGUGGGGGAUAACGUCCGGAAACGGGCGCUAAUACCGCAUACGUCCUGAGGGAGAAAGUGGGGGAUCUUCGGACCUCACGCUAUCAGAUGAGCCUAGGUCGGAUUAGCUAGUUGGUGGGGUAAAGGCCUACCAAGGCGACGAUCCGUAACUGGUCUGAGAGGAUGAUCAGUCACACUGGAACUGAGACACGGUCCAGACUCCUACGGGAGGCAGCAGUGGGGAAUAUUGGACAAUGGGCGGAAGCCUGAUCCAGCCAUGCAGCGUGUGUGAAGAAGGUCUUCGGAUUGUAAAGCACUUUAAGUUGGGAGGAAGGGCAGUAAGUUAAUACCUUGCUGUUUUGACGUUACCAACAGAAUAAGCACCGGCUAACUUCGUG
rnacentral:rRNA from 1 species